UCUGCCUGGUAGUGGGGGAUAACGUUCGGAAACGAACGCUAAUACCGCAUACGUCCUACGGGAGAAAGCAGGGGACCUUCGGGCCUUGCGCUAUCAGAUGAGCCUAGGUCGGAUUAGCUAGUUGGUGAGGUAAUGGCUCACCAAGGCGACGAUCCGUAACUGGUCUGAGAGGAUGAUCAGUCACACUGGAACUGAGACACGGUCCAGACUCCUACGGGAGGCAGCAGUGGGGAAUAUUGGACAAUGGGCGAAAGCCUGAUCCAGCCAUGCCGCGUGUGUGAAGAAGGUCUUCGGAUUGUAAAGCACUUUAAGUUGGGAGGAAGGGCAGUUACCUAAUACGUGAUUGUUUUGACGUUACCGACARAAUAAGCACCGGCUAACUCUGUGCCAGCAGCCGCGGUAAUACAGAGGGUGCAAGCGUUAAUCGGAAUUACUGGGCGUAAAGCGCGCGUAGGUGGUUUGUUAAGUUGGAUGUGAAAUCCCCGGGCUCAACCUGGGAACUGCAUUCAAAACUGACUGACUAAAGUAUGGUAGAGGGUGGUGGAAUUUCCUGUGUAACGGUGAAAUGCGUAUAUAUAGGAAGGAACACCAAUGGCGAAGGCAACCACCUGGACUA
rnacentral:rRNA from 1 species